CAGCAGCCACGGUAAUACGUAGGGUGCAAGCGUUAAUCGGAAUUACUGGGCGUAAAGCGUGCGCAGACGGUUACUUAAGCAGGAUGUGAAAUCCCCGGGCUCAACCUGGGAACUGCGUUCUGAACUGGGUGACUAGAGUGUGUCAGAGGGAGGUAGAAUUCCACGUGUAGCAGUGAAAUGCGUAGAGAUGUGGAGGAAUACCGAUGGCGAAGGCAGCCUCCUGGGAUAACACUGACGUUCAUGCCCGAAAGCGUGGGUAGCAAACAGGAUUAGAUACCCCCCGUAGUCCCUGUCUCUUAUA
rnacentral:rRNA from 1 species